rnacentral:sRNA from 1 species
UGCCAGACAAAGCAAGUCAUCAUCAAUUGUUAAUCCAAGAAAUGUGGAAUUAAUAGUGCUGUUGAUAGAUUGCUCCAAACUCUACUCUCCAUGCCUGAUCCUCACGGGAAGUUGCAUUGUCUUGAACCACAUCAGAAUCCUCUCUAAAUAGUGGCUGCAGUGCGGACUCUGGUAAUUUGCUCUCUGCAAGGUACUGCUUCAUGAAAGCUCAGCAGCAAGAGAUUUGGCAAAGCGAGCACGACCCUUCUUUCCAGCCUUGGCCGCUGCUCUCUUCACCUCUGCUAUGCCUUCCAUUAUGGCAUUGUGCUUUGCA